rnacentral:rRNA from 1 species
GAUGAACGCUAGCUACAGGCUUAACACAUGCAAGUCGAGGGGAAACGAUAUUGGAAGCUUGCUUCUGAUAGGCGUCGACCGGCGCACGGGUGAGUAACGCGUAUCCAACCUGCCCAUCACUUGGGGAUAACCUUGCGAAAGUAAGACUAAUACCCAAUGACGUCUCUAGAAGACAUCUGAAAGAGAUUAAAGAUUUAUCGGUGAUGGAUGGGGAUGCGUCUGAUUAGCUUGUUGGCGGGGUAACGGCCCACCAAGGCGACGAUCAGUAGGGGUUCUGAGAGGAAGGUCCCCCCACAUUGGAACUGAGACACGGUCCAAAACUCCUACGGGAGGCAGCAGUGAGGAAUAUUGGUCAAUGGACGAGAGUCUGAACCAGCCAAGUAGCGUGCAGGAUGACGGCCCUAUGGGUUGUAAACUGCUUUUAUAAGGGAAUAAAGUGAGUCUCGUGAGACUUUUUGCAUGUACCUUAUGAAUAAGGACCGGCUAAUUCCGUGCCAGCAG